CUUACUACCAGCCCAGUCUGACUGCGGAGUAUGAUGAAGACAGCCCAGGAGGGGACUUUGACUUUUUCUCCAACCUCGUAACCAAAUGGGAAGCUGCAGCCAGGCUUCCUGGAGAUUCUACACGCCAGGUGGUGGUGCGCUCAGGCCACCAAUUCUUCCCCUGGAUACACAUCGGGGACCUGGCAGGAAUCCUGACCCAUGCCCUUGAAGCAAACCACGUGCACGGGGUCCUGAAUGGAGUAGCUCCAUCCUCCGCCACUAAUGCUGAGUUUGCCCAGACCUUGGGUGCUGCCCUGGGCCGCCGAGCCUUCAUCCCUCUCCCCAGCGCUGUGGUGCAAGCUGUCUUUGGGCGACAGCGUGCCAUCAUGCUGCUGGAGGGCCAGAAGGUGAUCCCACGGCGAACACUGGCCACUGGCUACCAGUAUUCCUUCCCAGAGCUAGGGGCUGCCUUA
rnacentral:sRNA from 1 species